rnacentral:lncRNA from 1 species
GCAUAAGAGAAGUGCAGAGCAGCAGUAGGGACCCAGCUCCACACAGGUAACAAAUUGGUAGUGAACAUCAUUCACCUAGUUUUGUGACUCUCCAGCAAUGUUGGGAAGCUUGCUAAUACAAACUGAUGUAAAGAGCAGUGAGGGUUAUCAGGGUUGUGCACUGGGAAGAAGAGAUGAUGGAAGGUCAAAGUGGCUCUAGGCAGACAGCAAACAAGCGCACUGUUCAACAAAAUGACCUAUGCAUUUCAAACUGGG